CCAAGCCAGAGGUCACAGCUGACAAGGCGAACGGAACUCCUGAACUCCCUGUAGCAGAGGCCCAGAAAGGAGACUCUUCCUCCAAACCAGGAACAGUGGCUGUGCGGAUUCCCCUUGGGAGACAGCAGGAAGACUGCAGAUCCUCCCUCCCUGGGGUGGCUCCAGUGACCCUCAGUGUGCCCGCCAGGCACAGAGCACGCACUCACCCUCACUGUGACCAUGGACAGAGAGCGAAUCCCAGGGGCAGUGAGGUGUGACAUCCACAUGAAAUCCCCGAGAAGCCCCCAAAUUGUUUAAGCCUCGAGUCUCACAAAGCCUGUAUCGACCCCUGGUGGAAGGGCGGCCAGACCCUCGGAAGAGGGUCAACAGCUAUGAAGGAAACCAGAUGUCACCUGUCUCCUCCAGUGCCCAGUGUUCCCAGUCAUUGCCCCGACUCUCCUGGGUGUGCUCACACUGGCCUGCUCCCACCCCCAGAACCGAUGAACAAAUACUUGAUGUGAAUGAAUUAAACUGACUCACAAUACAGAAUCACAAGCUGGGAAGAGGGCUCUUGAAAGUACCAAAUAAGUAGCCCCCUCCACAUCCACAGGGGAUAGCCCCCAUCUACCCCAGAAAUCUACUCAAGAUUUCAGAAACCAACAUUCUAUAACUUUCCAUGCUGAUGGAUUUGGUCAGUGGAAGACUACUAAAUUCUGAUCCUGUUCCCUCAGUAAAAAUGUCACCAAGA
rnacentral:lncRNA from 10 species